rnacentral:rRNA from 1 species
AUUGAACGCUGGCGGCAGGCCUAACACAUGCAAGUCGAACGGUAACAGGAAGAAGCUUGCUUCUUUGCUGACGAGUGGCGGACGGGUGAGUAAUGUCUGGGAAACUGCCUGAUGGAGGGGGAUAACUACUGGAAACGGUAGCUAAUACCGCAUAACGUCGCAAGACCAAAGAGGGGGACCUUCGGGCCUCUUGCCAUCGGAUGUGCCCAGAUGGGAUUAGCUAGUAGGUGGGGUAACGGCUCACCUAGGCGACGAUCCCUAGCUGGUCUGAGAGGAUGACCAGCCAAACUGGAACUGAGACAAGGUCCAGACUCCUACGGGAGGCAGCAGUGGGGAAUAUUGCACAAUGGGCGCAAGCCUGAUGCAGCCAUGCCGCGUGUAUGAAGAAGGCCUUCGGGUUGUAAAGUACUUUCAGCGGGGAGGAAGGGAGUAAAGUUAAUACCUUUGCUCAUUGACGUUACCCGAAGAAGAAGCACCGGCUAACUCCGUG